CUUUUAUCUGGAGAUUCAAGUGCGCAUGCCCGGAAGAGGAUCUUCAGCGUGAUCAGAUUAAAUGUAAACUGCGUUUCUUCAGCAUUAAAUGUGCUUAUUAAGUUAAUCGAUCGAUCUGAUCGAUCUUCACAGCAUUGUUUGACUCCAAGACUCGAUUGGUACCGAUUCAGAUGAUUCACUAACUGAUUCAGGAUUCACUCGACGCGCGGACAGGAUGGUGUGUGAGCUGCUGCUGUCCUCGGUGUGGUUUCUCUUCGUCAUCUUCUGGCUGGAGACCAUCAGCGUGUGGCUCUUUCUGUGUCUGUACUAUCAGGACCGGGUCUUCUAUCACUGGGGCUCAGGGGGGUUUGCAGAUGAUCCGGAUCAGUUCCUCUACGUGCUGAGCAGGAUUGAUCUGUCAACACACAUGCAAACGUGAGGAGGUGAUGUCGUCAGUUGGGAGAGGUGUAGCCUGAGGAUGAGGGCGGGGCUGCCGUGAGGGGCGGAGCUCCGCUAGUCUGCGAUGAGGAGUUUCAGGAGGCCGAUGGGAAGGGCGUGAUGUUAUCCUGUAGUCCUGAACUCAGACUGGUGACCUGUGUGAACGGUUUAUCUGUCUAAUCUGUUAAACUAGUUGGAGAUUCGGCUGUUACUUUCACUCUAUAAAACACUAACAGAUCCUUGUCGAAUUAUUGCUUUUCUAUUUUUGUACAGAUGUGUGUUUUUGCAUCAUGAUGUUGUGUAAUAAAAGCCAUUUUACAGACUUUUCA